UUUUCACCUUUUUUUCCCAGUUUCCCAGCGUCACCUCUAAGUGUCGCCAAAGGAACAAUAGCUGUAGAAACGUGCGUACGACAGCUCUGGAGCUGGCGUGGGGACCGCACAUUUUUACGGUCCACAGGUUAAUGACUUUUUGAAGUAAAGAGGAGCAUCUCUUCUGAACCUGAUGUCUAUCAUGGAUAUUUAACUGCAGUUCUGUGAGUAUCUCAACUUAACCAUGAGGCAUAACUGCAAACUGUAAGUCAUUAAUUUCUCAUUACUCUUGGGCACAUUGAUGUAUUUUGGCUUCCUGGUGAGUUAACCUGUUACCUGAAAGUUGAUCUGAGUAGUAAGGAUGUUUUAUUGGUUCAUGGGUUACUUAGGCGUUUGGUUUAUGUUGGUUUUAAUGAUUUGUUAAAAUGGUUACAGGCUCCAAGUUAUUGUUGUAAGCUGGAGUAAUGGGUUGGGUUCUGAUAUCAUCAGUCUUCUUUCAUUCUACUCUCCUGAGCUCUGCUUCUUCAUCACAUGAGUGUUGCUUUACUGAUGAGUCUGUGGUGUGGGCUGAGUGAGCAGAGGUGCAUACUGGGGUACAGAGCUGUCUCGAGUCUACAGGUCCGUAGACACGCCCCCUCAGGGGAAACCGAGUGUUUGAGAAACUGUCGUGUCGUCAGUUACAUGGACUGGAAAGUUCUUAAAGAUGGAGACAGGGAUUCAGAAGGAGAAACACCAGGGGGAGAUGAGGGGGCUCCUCAUCUCAACGACUAAAACACAACUUCAGUCUGACACAGAGAACCAUGGAACACAUUCAACAGUCCCCUCCAGGCAUCGUGACUCCUCAGGAACAGUUUCAUUUCCAAGAAGGUCUUAUUUGGGGCCAUCCCCAUAUGGAUCCUGCUCCUCAAGAGCCACCCCCCUCCACUGGGUGGUCUUCUGAACAGAUGAUCUCCUUCCUGUCCUCAGGCUGACUAAAGCUGCACCGUUUGCAUCUGUGAAGGCCCCUCAUUCAGGAAACCACCGGACUUCAAAGACAUGACUUCAGAGAUGUUGAAUCAACCUGGGACACAUUUUGGAGACGCCAAGCAUAAUCCAUCACCAAUGUGGGACGCCACUGAAGAAUGUUGUACAUAAUUUACGUCUCUGGAGACAUUGGUUGUUCUGUUAUGGGUGCCCUGGCAGGAGAGCCUGGGGGGGGGUGAUGGAAUGUUAUUUGCUAUGAGGUUUUUACCCUGCAUGAUUGUUUGGACUUUUAUGGCUCAGUGGUGUGUGGGUAUGUGUGUUUGGGUUUGACAUGAGAUGGAAGAUUUUUUUAGCAUCGCUAGGGUUCUAUUCUGUGUGUGUGUGUGUGUGUGUGUGUCUCCACUAACACCUGGCAUGGGUUUCUACGUGCCUUUCCUGGGUUCUAUGUGCGUGUGUCCGGCUUGCUUUGAAAGUGAUAAUGUUCAUACGGGGGGGUCUGUGUGAUUGGCUUGAGAUAUUGGAAUGGUCAACUAAAUCAUACCGGAUGGACGGCCACAAGUUUACUUAAGGACCUCCAGUGGACAUGAAGAGCCCUGAGUGAUGCUCCGGAGCGAGAUCCAACACACUGGGCAGUAAGGAGAGUAUCCAACUCAAGUGUAAAAGGAUUCAAGGGGCGUGUUCAGAUCAGUGACUUCAAACUAGGACUACACCAAUCAGGAUCAAUGGAGGAUGGACACCAAAAGGAAUUCCACAAGGAGAGUCUGACGUUGGAAAGGGACCUAAAUGGAUAUUCAAGAUGACCUUCAGACCUGUAAUGAGACGGCUCUUCCUACCUGGCUGGAUUGAUGGAGAGCCCUGUGGAUCUUGUCUUGCUCUCAGUUGCACGUCUUCUCAGGCUGAACUAAUUGUUUCGGACAGGACUAGCUAAACGAUUGGUUCCCUUAAAUCAGAACCAAUCCGGGAACUCCAGCUAGAGCGCUCUGCAAGCUGAAGUUGUGCUCUUCAAGCUGAAGUUGUGCUCUUCAGCUGAGGAGGUAAGGAAACCUUCACUGGGGCUUCAAGGUGUAAAGAGGAGACUGUUUCAAAGUGUUCCAUGGUACUCUGAUGAAGACCGUUGUUGUGUUCCACUGGCUGAGAGGAAGAACCCACACAUCUUCCUCUUGGCCUUUCUCCUCUGAGAAUCCUGGCGCCAUCUUGAAGGAUAUUCCAGCUCAUGUAACUGAUGUCACGACAGAUUCUCAAACACUUGGUUUCUCCUGAGGGGCGUGUCUAUGGAACUGAAGACUUCAGACUGCACUGUAUCCCAGCAUGCAUCUCUGCUCACUCAGACCACACCCCCAUGAGUAGAAUGCAACACUCUAGUGAUGGAGAUGUAGAGUUUUAUAAGUAACGAGGGAGCGGACUAAGGUUAUUGGAACACAAUGGAAUGUCAAGUCUGUAAAUCUUUAAGCCAUGAAGAUGGUUGGAUAGUUCAGGAAUUGGGCUUCUUUUUAUUAUGGGCAGUCCUUUCACUCAGAUGCCCACUUCUCACUGGAGCUGUACAUGUGUUGGCUGGCUGGCAUGAUUUGCUGUUGGUGAUGAGGCGGUCAGGGUGACGUUGCAGGGCUAUGGUCGGCUCUCUGUGAGCUCAACGUUUAGUUUUUCUCUGUAUGGUUUGUACCCUGAAUAAUCUAGAUAAUUGUAAAAUGUAGACACGGUUUUGUAUUGAAUGAUUCCUGGAUUUUAGGUUUAAAGUUGUUGUGGGACGUACAUGGUAGUUUGGUUCUUCGUAUGGUUUUGAGUGAUAUAACUUGUACACACUGGGUGCAUAAUAAUGUAAAGGUACACUGAAUAGUAUUAAUGACCAACAGCAACAAACAGAUCUCCUCAAGGUAAGUCUGUUGGCUGUGUUUUAAUGAAGACCAUCGCUGGACUUCAGGAUCUUCCUCCGUUCAGCUCAAGGUGAGGCGCUGGUUCGGUUUUUUUGGUUGGUUCCGGCCGGAAUGUUCGUAUUCCAGUCGGACGGUUUGUGCUUCCCGCCGUGGAAGGUUUUGAGUGCGGUCACUUGAUUUAGUCCCAAUGGUUAGCAUAGAACGUUGUAGUCUUGACAACCAUAAGAAACCACCUGGCAGUUAGUUUGAAGGGAGUCCCCUGAGGGAAUCUGGCGGAACGUUCUGGAUUGUAUUUGAGUAACCUCGAGGCGUUGCCAACAGAAACUAUCUUUCAGUCGUUUUCCAUUGGGAAUUGUUGCCCCUAUCUUAAACAACUAAAGUUUGAUAUUAAAUACAUACUGAGACGUACUUCGUACAAUAUGUUGAUAAUUUCCGAUGGUUGCGCCGUACUUUUAACCACGAUGACGUUGCGGGACUCUCACUGCGUACAAAAACAGCGUUCUACUUGCGGGCCCAUUUUUGACUGGCUGAAAAUCAUUUCAAGGUGGAAGAUAAUUUGACAUUUCUUCAACGGAACCCAGCACCUGAAUAUGGCUGAGUAUAUUUGAUUUAAUAUCGAUACUGCUUAGUGUUCUUUGUUACUUCAGCUUUUGUACGUUCUAAAUAUAUGCUGUCAUUAAUUGCCACAGAAGUUAAACCCUACCCAAUGGAAUGACGUUAAAGAACGACUUUGGUGCAGAGUUACCAACUGGAUAAUAUCAAAGCUAAAAUAAUGUCCGUCAUUCCCACAUGUUACAGUAGAAGAUACUCUAGAACUGUACAAGGUUAAAAAGGUAACAUGUAGUUUGUCCCAAGGUGUCUGCCUCCUCACCCAGAGCCAGACCUCCACCUCCUCACCCAGAGCCAGACCUCCACCUCCUCACCCAGAGCCAGACCUCCACCUCCUCACCCAGAGCCAGACCUCCACCUCCUCACCCAGAGCCAGACCUCCACCUCCUGUCAGAAGUCCUCCAGAACAGCUGAAAGGCGAGGCUGAGAGGCUGGGGACCGGAGGCUUGUGGUGCCAGGGUGGACCGGAGACUGGGGCUGGAGACCAGGGGCCUGCAGCACCGGACCAGAGGACCAGGAAUCUGGAGGACUGAUGGAGAAGCCGUACAUCUGGAAGGCAAAUCCUGAGGACCACCAGGACUCUACCAUCAAGGAUUCCUCAUAAGUUUGCAUUAUCUGGACAUAGUGGACUAGACACACCUGAGCUGAACCUCACCUGAUCCUGUUUGGUCGGGGGUAGACACACCUGAGCUCGCCUGAUCCUGACAUCCUGCUGGUCCUGUCUCCUCAGAAGACCUGC
ensembl:lncRNA